UAGCUGAUUUUGGCUAGUUUUGAAAAUUAGACCUGGCAACCUUGAUCGUGGUAUAAAAAGCUUGGCCUGGGUGCAGGCACACAAUUUUUUUUGGGGCGAAAUGUGGUUUGUGUUCCUGCGCCCAGGCCAACACAGUGGCUCCAGAUGUAGAUGCAGAAAAGCAGUGACUGGACAGUGUAGGGGCGAAUUCUGGGCCUGUGUUUGGGCAGACUGAGAGCCCAGUGUGGCAGUAGCCUUGUACAUAGAGCUCAGACUGCAUUACUGUUCUUUGAGAUACUAUAAACAAAAUCGUGUUGUAUUUAUACUGUGUUUUGGGGUUGUUAUUAUUAUACAUGAGAGAAACACUGUAUAUUGUUGUGUGUUCAGGGGGGUAGUAAACACGGACUUGGCAGUGUAUUUAUCCUCCAUCUGCUCUAGGCGCCAUUAUAAGUGAAUUAGGUGCCACGGGGGUCACGUGUGCGCUGGGGUGGACUAUAUAAACUUGCCGCUGCGCUUAUCCUGACGCAUUUUGUGGAGUAUUGUAUUUGUACAUGAAACUGGCGCUGGCCUGCGCCGGACGAAUAAGUGCAUCAGAUGUUGGACAGCAAGUUGUGAGGAGCAAACACACACACACUGUACCCACAAACUCUUCAUAUAGUUCUGUUUAUUAUUAGCUAUUUCAAUCGUUUCGCUGUGGUAUUCGUGCGAUUUUAUGUCGCACCUCUGUGAGAGGCCCAGCUUUCUCCUGUGCGCACGAUUACUUCAGAAGAUGCGCUGAGUUUAUUUUAUUUAUCCUUCUGUGUGCAGAAGUGUGCAGAAGGGAACAUAAGCACAGGGGUACACUUGCCAUGGUGCUGCAAAGCUGGGGUACUGGGCUACACAGUUACUCGGCUAGCGAGUGAGAGGGGGUGUGGCUCAGUGGGCGGUUGAAGGCGUGGUUUCCUUGACAGCCGGAGCUUAUCCCGGCAUGCCCUGGGGCUGGCGGGGUUGGUUCUAACGAAUUUGAAUGAGGAGCUCUGCGCUUUCGGCGCCAUUUUCGAGUCAUGACUCGACCGUACAAUUUGGCAGGGAGCUGAGGCGGGUAUGAGUGGGACUAUAGACGGUGAGGCUGGGAUGUCUGUGUCUCCCGAGAGGGUGGGGGACGAGGGGAGUGGUGAGGAGCGGGGAGUGGAAGGUGAGAACCUCAAAAAACAACGCACAGUGAUCGCUGUCAGCGGAGCAGCACAAGCAGAUAUCUUGGGCGUCCACAACAACUGAAACUGUUAAAGGCUAUUGUCUCGGGGCUUCAGAAAGCAAUUCCUGACAAGCUGAAUUAACCUGUCACUGGAAGACACGGUGGUUAAAAUGACCUUGAGGUAAAGUAGCAGCACAUAAUGGUUUGUGGGUUACACAGAGGUGCAGGCCAUACUGUGCUGCCGCCAAAACACAAGGCUUUCCUCCUCUCAAGUACAUGACAUUUCUACAUGUAUGAUCUGUGUGCUCUUACCAGCUGUCCUUUAGCAGCACGUAAAUGUUGGAGUUAAAAUGGUCCCAAUAUUAUCUGUGCUGCUAGAGUAAAACUGGCCCGUCUCAACAAUCAGAACCCGCUGCUCUACACAAAGCUCAUCCUAUUCAUUUCUGUCUAACUGUGUAUUAUGCUUAACAAUCUACUCUUUUUUUAAGUCUGUUUACAAAGAUGCUGUUUUAAAAUAGAAAUCUACUUUUCCCCAUCCUGUCAUCAUUCGUUUAAAUGGGGAGUUCACCUUUAAAUUUAUAAUAUGAUGUCGACUGAUCUUCUGAAACUAUUUGCAUUUUCUGUUCAUUGCUAGUCCAGUUUACCCUAGCAACUAUGCAGUGGCUUGACAGAUGAAUAGGAGAGAGCCUGCAUAGAAAGAUGCCUACUAAAAAGAAGUAAUAGAAUUUUAGCUAGGGAUGCACCGAAUCCAGGAUUCGUUUCGGGAUUCUGCCUUUUUUCGAUUUGCAUAUGCAAAUUAGAGGCGGGAGAGAAAUCACGUGACUUUGGAAGUAAUAAAAAAAUUGUUUUU